rnacentral:rRNA from 1 species
ACUAAAUAGAUACCCGGUAGUCCACGCCGUAAACGAUGGUGCUAGGUGUAGGAGGUAUCGACCCCUUCUGUGCCGUAGUUAAACACAAAUAAAGCACCCGCCUGGGAGGUACGGCCGCAAGGUUGAACUCAAAGGAAUGACGGGGCCCGGCACAAGCGGUGGAGCAUGUGGUUUAAUUCGACGCAACGCGAAGAACCUUACCAGGGUUUGACAUCCCUCGACAGCUGUUGAAAGGCAGUUUCUGACUUCGGUUAGACAGGGAGACAGGUGGUGCAUGGUUGUCGUCAGCUCGUGUCGUGAGAUGUUGGGUUAAGUCCCGCAACGAGCGCAACCCUACUUUUAGUUGCUAACGCGUGAAGGCGAGCACUCUAGAGGAACUGCCGUUGACAAAACGGAGGAAAGUGGGAUGACGUCAAAUCAUCAUGCCCCUUAUGUCCUGGGCUACACACGUGCUACAAUGGCCGGUACAAAGGGAAGCAAGUCGCGGGCAGAGCCAAUCCCAAAAACGCCGGUCUCAGUUCGGAUUGCAGGCUGAAAUUCGCCUGC